GGGUAGGUGGCAGAGUGGUGAUGCGCGAGACUGCAGAUCUCGUUUAUUGGGGUUCGAUUCCCCACCUACCCU
rnacentral:tRNA from 1 species